AAAGACUCAUGGAAUAUUAGAUGGAUCUUCAUAAACUCCAAUAGAUAUAAUCAAGAAGCAUUAAGAUUGACUUCUUUACAAAUAGAAAAUGGUCUAAGCCAAUGAUAAUCUAACAUAUUACUAGUGCUAGUCUUAAUAUUGUGAUAAAGUCACUAUAUCUUGUCACUAGCAUGGAAUUGAGAUUCUUCCUUGCAAUAGACAACUACAUUGGUCUUUUAUUAUUUAUAAGCUUUUUUUAAUUAUGCCUCUAUUAU
rnacentral:lncRNA from 1 species